AUUUUUCUCUACAUUCCUCGGUUUUCCUUGAAAAAAAAAUUAUGUUUGGUGUCACAGACCUUUUGGAUGUGGAGUAAUUCUUGGAGGUUACGACAGAGAAGGACCACAACUAUACAUGAUUGAACCUUCUGGUAUUUCAUAUAGGUACUUUGGUGCUGCAAUUGGGAAAGGAAAGCAGGCUGCUAAAACUGAAAUUGAAAAGUUGAAGCUUUCAGAUAUGACCUGCAGGGAAGGUGUUAUUGAAAUAGCCAAGAUGUGAGUGAUUUCUCUUUUUAAUGCAUACUUUUUUCUCUCCAAACAGCAAC